UAUUAAUUAACACUUCGACUAUCGAUUGCCUUCCAUUGUUUAUCGCGCGAAAAAGCCGCCGUUUUCUUAAUUUCCUCGUUUACGACCAAUUUAAUUUCUUUUGUUGUGGCUGCUUAAUGAGCCGCACAAUGGAGUCCGUGAAAAGCCACUCAAAGUGCUCUACGACCCUGCAGGAAGGUGUGAACACGGGGCAGACGGCUGUCAAGUUCAAGUUCGGCUGAGAAUUGUUUUGGGCAGAUUCGUAUCGGGCCACCACCGCCAGCCACAAGGCAGUAGCUUCGCAGCCGCAGCCCGCACCACCAUCAUCAUCAUCUACUGCUCGUGGAGGUUCUAUGUUGUUUUUAGUUUUCAAUUGCUCGCUUCACGCCAUGCAACGCUAACGGCCUUGCUAAACAAUAGAUUCAGCCGCCAGUCGCUGUCGUCGGUUGCUGCCUUCGCCGUCUGUGCCUCCUGCACUUUUGCCUCCGCCUCCACCUCCGCCUCUGCUACUGCCUGCUACCUGUGUAUCUCUGCCACUAUGCGGCUGCUACUUUUAUCAAUUGACAGGCGUCGGCGGCGUCACAAUAAGCAGCACAUGCACUCAACUGAGGGAACAGCAGCCCCGGCGAUGCAACAAUUAAAGGCGUGCGAGUAAAGAUGUGCGAAACCGAUGUGGGGAUGCUGAUGUAGAUGAUGAUGCGGCUGCUGAACGGCUCCCAUGACAUUGAGCGGCGCGCCGUGUGUGCCAGGCCCCGGGAACGACUACAAUGAGCAAUUUUUCGAAGCCAAGCGGUUGGAUGGAUGGCUGGAUGGAUGGCUCGCUCGCUCGAAUGCUUGUUAACAGCCACAAUGACAACGGCAGACAGAUGACGACGUUGCACGUCAACGCUCAAGUGCAUCCGUUAUAACUGUCAAUGGGCAUUAACUCUUGUGGCGCACUGUGUCGCCGCUCUCUGCUCUGCUGUUGUUUUCGGCAACAGGUCCAGUGGACAAAGAUCUAAUCAAGGGAACGGCAGUAGCGUGAAAGCGAGCGUUUGCCUCCGCUUAAUGAUGAUACCGGAUAACCAGCAAUUAAAGGAUAUUUAUGCUGCAAUG